GUCCCAAAACACACAGAGGCGAACGCAAUGUCAAAGUCAAGUAUAUUUUUCGAUUUGAACAAAACUUGAAGCAAAGUUGAGGACAAAAAAUAUAAAAGCGAGAAAAAUGUCAACCGCCAAGCGCUAUAAUAAAGCUCAAAAUAAAAUCAAUUACGCUCGAUUAACUGAAAUAGUUACAUAAAUUACAAAUACCCAAGGCAGGACGAAGCACAGGACGGCGACUUGAAGCGGGACCAUGGCUAGCCGAAGCAGGGACGAUUGAAGCGCAAAAUCCACAAGAAGACGCGCAACAUUUUGCGGCAUAAUGACAAUUUCCAACGAGCCAUCCAAAUGAUACACAUUCACACAGCAAGCGAGACAACGCAAGUGAGUGAGAAGGAGAGAAAGAGGGAAAGAAAGAGUGAGAUGUGUCACUGAGAGUGGAGGCCGCGUAGAGAUAACUAUUAACAUUAUAUAACACGCAGACCGCAAUGAAGACGAAACCUUUGCUCUAAAAACAACAAGCAGGAGAGGGUGCGGCGGCGUGGAUGGUGGGAGAAUGCUCGGGAAAAUAAUAAAUAAUACCAUUUGAUGCUCAAAGCGAAGACAACGCAUUUAAAAUGGCCGCAUUUGCACGCUUGUACCAUAGCAUCUUCAACUCCGCAAACCCCGCCCCCGGCCACGCACCAAUCCACCCAAGUAAUCAAAGUGCCCCGCCUAAAUUACCCCCAAGCUUUGCGGUUCAAGACUUAGUUCCACUUGCAGCGGCUGUUUGUUGCUUUUGUUGUUUGCAACUUUACGCGCAAUUAAUCUAAAAUAAAUUCGUUUAUAAUUUGACAACAGUAAGAGAAAAUAAAAAAUAAUAAAAAUAGAGAAGAGGGAAAAUAAACUUAGGCGAUAAUUUUCCAGCUUUAAAAUAAUCAA